rnacentral:lncRNA from 1 species
UGUUCAAGUUUAAUGUUUUUGACGCAUGCGCAGCAGGAGUUGACUGACGAUGACUCGCCUU